rnacentral:miRNA from 1 species
GUCCGGACGGUUACAGGAAACAGAAACUCCUGUUCCACGUGGAGUUUCUGUUUCCUGUAACCGGCCGGAC